CGAACAAACAGGUUCAUACUGGGCACUGGCACCAAACAGGGGCCUAUUUGGCCCGCAGGCAGGUUUUAACAGGAAACUCCGACACAGAAAUGGGUCUAAACAGGGGACCCGUUUGGUAGUUAAACCAGUUAAACUGGCUCAUAGUGGUCCCACUUGCACCAAAAAGGUCUACUUGUAGCUGUCAUGCUCGAUUUAAUGCUUGAACUAUUUACGGUAAAAUUCGAUUUGAAAUUGGUACACACGAGCGAGCGCUCCGCAACACCCCAACGACAGCCGCUUCGCGUCGGCGCCGGGGCACAACCAACGGCGCUGCCAAACACAGAGAAAAAAAAAGAAAGAAAAGGUUAAUAAAUAAGAAGAAAAAAAAACAAAAACAAAUAAGCCAAAACGGGAUUUAAACCCGCGUACCGCAGAUCCCAUGGCAAGCGUCGUAACCACUCGGCCACGCAGCCCCGCAGAUCCGGCGAUUGCUGUCCUCACUAUUGAAAGGAACGUGGCUGGAACCCGCCGUAUAAGAUGCAUGAUAUCGAAAUACUACCACAGAACACCCAUACAAACUACCACAUACUACGUCGUCACGAUACAUGCGGUCACCAAAGGGCCGAAAGUGGGCAAAAGCACGAAAGCAUGGUCGCUUUCGGUGCCCCCAGGAGGCGCUGCCACUGCCCCAGGGGCAUGACCGUGCUGUUGCUGCCUGUUGCUGUGUGUGCGCGCUGCAUUCAGGCAGGUCGAUGUGGAUGUUUAAUCGUGUGUACGCUGUGCCGAGAGAAAAUGUCGUGCCCCUUGUGUGCUUUGAUGAUCACCUAACCCCUGGGACCGCGUAACGUAGCUCGCAGUACCUUUCGCGUAGUUCGCCGAUGUCGAUUAUCGUAGUUAUGGCCCGCUUGCGCUUUCUUUGUUCCCGGCCUCUGAUAAUAUCGCAUCGGAUCACAGUGCACGGAACAAUUUGUUGAGCUAUUACGUGCUGUAGUUCAUCCGCAAUUCAACAGUGUUUACGUCGGAAGGAUCGUCGUGCAGUCGACGCCGCGACCUGACAUGAAGGAGAGUUUGCCGACUACGCCUAGAAAGGGAUGUCAAGAUUUCGUGAACCAGAGGCACCGCAUAGGAACCUAAGACAUUUCUGCAGCCGGAACAGCACAGCAAAGCAUCUGAUCUGCAUGCUGCGACAAGGUAUGGCUGGGCCUGGUGAUGAAGUGUAAGCAGAACAUGCUAUGCUGCGAAUUGGUGCCAAUCUUCACAUCCGAGUUGUUCCCACGACAGUCAAGCACCACUGUGAUUUGCUUCAUUGGCAAGGUGCCCUGCAAGCUCUCACCAAAGCAACACAUUCCACUGGUUUUCUGUCAGAGUACCAUUAUAGAAUUUCGAAUAAACUAUGCUUGUCAGAUGUGUGACAUGCCCCGUCUUAAAAUCAGAGCGCUUCAGUAAUAAUGUUUGAAUGGGUGUACAUAAAAACACACGUAAAGUAUACUUAUGUAUUUCUUUUACAAGUCCUCUUCACCCGACGUUUUUCCAACUUAAAAUUACGCUUUGCUGUACAUUUGUUUUAUGCACAAACCAUUACAGCAACACAACACUGCAGUAAAAUGAGUACAAAUGAUAAAGCAUGCAGUACACCUGCAAGAAUUACAUUUGCAUACUUGUAGUACAUAUGAAAAUGAGCUACCGAUCUUUUUCAGGUUGCAUACUCUUAUAGGUCAUACAUGUCAAGCGCACUCAUAGGUCACACAAAACUCGUUCAAGGCUGAUCUCAAAUCUCAGUGACUUAUGUUAAGUGACAUCGGACCAGUCUAAAGAAACCUGGCUCAAAUAGGGAAAUAAGUAGGUUCGAACAGGGUCAAAUGGGAGUGGACUAAACGGGGACAAACAGGUCUGGGCUAAAUGGGUUCAAACGGGGGCAAACAGGUCUGGGCUAAAUGGGUUCAAACGGGGACAAACAGGUCUGGGCUAAAUGGGUUCAAACGGGGACAAACAGGUCUGGGCUAAAUGGGUUCAAACGGGGUCCCGUUCCAUAAUCCUAUUUGAUGA